rnacentral:lncRNA from 1 species
ACCUACUUAAGCUACCAACGUGAAAGGCCAUUAGGCUAUUAUAUUAUAAUAUGUAAUCCUUUCAGAAAACAACGUUCUAAUCUAAGCCAAUAUAUUGAUACUUUAGAAUAGUCCAUAUUAUCACUGUUCCUUUAUACAUUUUAACUUUAUAUCAUUUCUGUUUCAGAAUCUAAACUAUAGAAACACAAAAAGAAAGACAUUAUCUGGGUCAACUCUGUGCCCUAAGAUGGUCAGUUAAUUAAAGACAAUCAAAUGAUCAUUGAUCCUACAC